rnacentral:tRNA from 1 species
GAGCAUGUAGCUCAGUUGGUAGAGCAUGGUGUUUGCAACACAAAGGUUAUGGGUUCGAUUCCCAUGGGGCCCA